GGGAGGGAGGGGACGAACAGCCAGGGCAGGGUGGGGACAGAGCCCUGGAAAGGGACACGGGGGGAGCGCGUGGAGAUAGAAAAAUUGUCAGGGAGAAAAACCCGAAAUCAGCCCAAAAAAACGAACCGAGGGUCACCGCCCAGGGCCCGGGGGUGUCCCCAAGUCUGUCCCGCCAGGGGGACGCGGUACCGAGGGCGGGGGUGGUGACCCAGGGGGUGACACGGUGGCACGGCCCGGGGCAGGGCUGGGGGACAGCGGUGUCGCCAGGGCGGGGCCGGUGCCAGGGUGACACCCCUGUCCCCAGGACAGGUGACAGCGACAAUCCUGUCCCCACAGCUGGGCGCCAGUGCCAGUGUGAGUCCCCAAGGUGGACACUGGCACAGGGGUGACACGGCUGUCCCCAGGACAAUGCUGGGGUGACACUGCUGUCCCCAGGGCACGUACCAGUGUGGCAAUCCUGUCCCCAAGGUGAGUCCCAGUGCCAGUGUGUCAGUCCUCAAGGUGGGCACUGGCGCUGGGGUGACACUGCUGUCCCCAAGCUGGGCACUGGGGUGACACUGCUGUCCUCAGGGCAGGUACCAGCAUUGCAAUCCUGUCCCCAAGCUGGGUGCUGAUGCCAGGAGUCCGUGUCCAGCCGGGUACCAGUGCCAGGUGUCCAUCCCAGCCAGGUAUCAAUGCCAGGUGUCCAUCCCAGCCAGGUACCAAUGCCAGGUGUCCAUCCCAGCUGGGUACCAAUGCCAGGUGUCCAUCCUCAGCCGGGUACCGGUGCCAGGUGUCCAUCCCAGCCAGGUAUCAAUGCCAGGUGUCCAUCAUCAGCCGGGUACCAGUGCCAGGUGUCCAUCCCAGCCGGGUAUCAAUGCCACGUGUCCAUCCCAGCUGGGUACCAAUGCCAGGUGUCCAUCCUCAGCCGGGUACCAAUGCCAGGUGUCCAUCCCAGCCGGGUACCGGUGCCAUGCCGUGCCGUGCCCGCACCGCGCCGGCCCCCGGAGCCGAGGAAGGCGCCGCUCACACCGACGACUCCUCGGGGUUGGAGUCGGGCAGGGGCUGGCGCUGCUGCAGCUUGCGCCGCAGCUCCUCGGCCAGGUCGGCGCAGGCCGGGCGCUCCUCGCUGCCCAGCGCCAGCCGGAUGUAGGGGGGGGGGGGGGGGGGGGGGGGGGGGGGGGGGGGGGGGGGGGGGGGGGGGGGGGGGGGGGGGGGGGGGGGG
rnacentral:lncRNA from 12 species